UGGAUGCCCAAUCUUGUCUGAUCUUGGAAGCUAAGCA
rnacentral:rRNA from 1 species